rnacentral:tRNA from 1 species
GGGCUCGUGGUCUAGCUGGUUAUGACGCGGCCUUUACAAGGCCGAGGUCGGUGGUUCGAACCCGCCCGAGCCCACUA